rnacentral:lncRNA from 1 species
GAGUUCAGUUUUGUCUGCUUUGGAGUCUCUUGCUGUCAUCUCGACGCGCUGGGCCAGCAUGAUCCUGCGAGGAGUUGUACUUCAAAAUUUAACAAGGAACAAACGCAAAGCUUCAAAAGGGGAAAUACAAGCUUUCCCAGAGGAGUUUCUCCAGGUGCAGCGUGUGGUGGCAGCAACAGCACAGGCAUUUCCUUACUUAACCAGAAGAGACUAAGGGAUCUCCUGGGUCAGGUUCUGUGGAGUUCCAGCAGAAGCCGCGGAUCGUGGAAGUUCAGCGACACCACCGUCCUGCCCCGUGGGAGAGGUUUGACAAACGCUCUUUCGAAUCCAGAAAAGUCAAGUAGAGAAGGAAAGUAAGGGGCCACUUACUGUGCCUCGAAUCACAAGACCGCGGUGGACCAGCCUGGUUAAGACCUGUGGAUGUCUUCAGCAAGAAACUUGGAGAGGCCCCUAAAGAUAUCGCCAGAGAGAAAACAAAGAAAGCUUCAGUCGCUCCUUCCUAAGCUGUCACGACUACUCUUUUAAAUGGCCCCAUGCUUGGAUUUCUGUCACCACGACUGGGGGAGCCUGGGCGAGUGUGCUUUCCCUCACUGCACCUCCCAUGGGAGCCCAGGCUGCUGCGCCGUCCUCAGACUGUUGGGAUGAUGAGCGGACGGUGAACUCCCACCACCUGCGCCUGUGAAGGGAGCUCCGGUUGAGGGGCUUUGCUGGCUUCGGGUCGGGGGCUGCCGUAGUUCUGUGUUGGGGAGAUGGUGUGGACUGCGGCAGAGCCAAGCCUGAGCCCCACGCCAGGAUGAGUGGAGUGCCCGGAAAGCAUUCUGAUUUCCGGCCUGGCGUGUCUUCCUUCCAUUACACUGAAAGUUUUACCCAA